UCCUUUGAUUAAACAAUUCAGACCCUUGGCUCUUAUUGUUCUUGCUGGUGUGGUAUGUUCACGGCUGAAAAGAUGGUCAGAAGGGGAAAGGAGGAAGUGAGAAGAAAGAAACAGGGAAAUGACAGAGUGUUGCUCAGUUACCCAGGCUGGAGUGCAAUGGCAUGAUCUUGGCUCACUGCAGCCUCCACCUCCUGGGUUCAAGCGGUUCUCGUGCCUCAGUCUCCCAAGUAGCUGGGAUUACAGACCCUGCAUGUGAUGGAUCAGCUGACACCAUCCAGAUCGGUAAACUGGUUCAUCUGAUCUUGUGCCCUCCACCCAGGAACUGACUCAGCGCAAGAAGACAGCUUCGACUCCUUGUGAUUUCAUCCCUAACCAAUCAGCACUCCUGGCUCACUGGCUUCCCCCAACCCACCAAAUUGUCCUUAAAAACUCUGCUCUCCAAACGCUGGGGGAGACUGAUUUGAGUAAUAAUAAAACCCUGGUCUCCUGCA
rnacentral:lncRNA from 1 species